rnacentral:lncRNA from 1 species
GCUUCCACUAGAUGUCAACGAUCUUUAUAAAGUUGUUUGAAGCGUCUAUGAUAAACAGAGAGAAAAUUAGAAUCCAAGGAAGUUGACAUGUCAUCACUUCAUUUUUUUGCACCUGCGCAUAAAUCUGAGAAACGUGAGUUUUGUCUUCAUUGUUUAUCUAGACAUAGGAUAGGUUGUGUGAAAAUAUUACUGAUGUUUAACGUUAAAAAUGGACCAAAAGAUUAAUGCUAAACAACAUUUGACAUGUUUGAACGAACAUAAAUAGAUUAUUUACUAGGUUUUUUUAGCUUUUCGGGCGUGAUUUUACAGUCCCCCCACCACGUUUUGUGGGAGCAUAAAGAACGCUAAGUACUUGGUGUUAUUUGGACAUAAAUUAUGAACUUUGUCAAAAGAAACCACAUUUGUUCCGGACCUGGGAUGGCUUCCGGACCUGGGAUGCCUGCCUUCUGAUGGAGAUAAUCAAAGUCUUUUUCUCUCUCUCCCUCUAUCUGCUCUGUCUGUCUGUCUCUCUGUCUCUCUUUCUCUGUACCUGCCCCCCCCCUCUCUCUAUCUAUCUUUCACUCUCUGUCUUUCUGGAAGUGCAGUUAAGUGGAGAGGAAGUUCAGCAACUCUUGGAGGACAUUCUGAAUGGACCACCGAGACAGAGACGGGAUGACAAUGUCAACUUGGUCUCUCUGAUUAAAGUAGCUCCUUGAUAUUAAGUGGUGGCGAGGACCUGAGCCCUAGGACCAUGCCUCAGGACUACCUGGCAUGAUGACUCAUUGCUCUUCCCAGUCCACCUGGCUGCUCCAGUUUCAACUGUUCUGCCUGCGGCUAUGGAACCCUGACCUGUUCACCGGACGUACUUGUUGCACCCUCGACAACUACUAUGAUUAUUAUUAUUUGACCAUGCUGGUUAUUUAUGAACAUUUUAACAUCUUGACCAUGUUCUGUUAUAAUAUCCACCCGGCACAGCCAGAAGAGGACUGGCCACCCCUCAUAGCCUGGUUCCUCUCUAGGUUUCUUCCUAGGUUUUUGGCCUUUCUAGGGAGUUUUUCCUAGCCACCGUGCUUCUUUCACAUGCAUUGCUUGCUGUUUGGGGUUUUAGGCUGGGUUUCUGUACAGCACUUUGAGAUAUCAGCUGAUGUACGAAGGGCUAUAUAAAUACAUUUGAUUUGAUUUAGUGAAUGCGUACAUUCCUUGCAUUUUUUUUUUUGUACUGGCCCCCCGUGGGAAUUGAACCCACAACCCUGGCGUUGCACACACCAUGCUGGCAUUGCAAACAACAUUCUCUACCAACUGAGCUACAGGGAAGACCAUGUCACUGAUGGAGUGCUGAGGUUUAGAGGGUCUACACUAGAAGUUCAUGGUUAUAGGAGGAAGGUAUAUAGUGUGUGCAAUUAAGCUUGGAAUGUGCUGAGUGCAGGGAAGCAAUUGCAUGUGGCAGGCAUUGAUAAGAGGAGAGAGCCAUGGAUUAGUGAUUGAGGGGGGUUGAGGUCAGGUCAGGUCACCUUAAGGGAGAAAUAAAAGUUUAUGGCCCGUAUCACUGGUGUCCUGCCUAGCAGUAAACAACGAUGUUUGCACAGAUGGGUAGGAGGAGACUCAGUCAAUGAGGAAUGGUUAAAUAUCAGUGCUUGUGUGAAAAUGUUUUUGUCUAAUACAGCUGUAUUGAUCCUCUUGUUAAGCUUUCAUAAUGUCUGUUGAGUUUUUACUCUGAGAAUUAGAACCUAACAACGCGAAUGAAUAAUCUAUCUUCGAUGUCAAGCUUUCACUUUCUCAGAAAAAACAGGAUUCAUGUGAAAACAACACGACAGAACACACACCUUCCUUACACACCGCCCAGAAGUGGGAAACUAACCGAAUACAGAUUAAAGCACAAGUUGCUCUUUAACAUAAACUACAGAGGGGACCUGAUGACACAAACACGCUGGGUUUGGGAAUGACUUGAGCACGUGUGCAUCAGUCAUGGCAUUUUUAUACUGCCAUCACAUUGGGUGUACUGUAGUUAGUAGGACAGCAUCACUGAGAGAUAGUCAGAUUGAUUUUUCAAAAGGCUGCAGUGGUCUUUGAUAUUGAGUAUGGCAUGGAACCGAGGCAGCAGCAGCGAUACCGUUAACACUACCUUUCCGAAUAACAGGGAAAAAUAACACCAUAUCCUUGUUUACUGAGAAGACUGGAGAAGUAUCAAGGGUGUCGUGUGUAUACAGCGUUCACCUUCAAAGAUCAGUCUGGACGUUGCGUGCUUUCAGAGUUCAGAAAGGAAACACCACGUGCACAAUUAACCAUUUAUUAGAAAAGAUUACAUUAGUCUUGGAGUUAGACUCUGCUCCUUCAGGGUAGCUUACUGACAGAG